AGCACCUGCGAGAGUACGAUCCAACAGAGCCGGUAGACACGAAUGAAUGAAUCAAUCAGCUUUCCUCUGAACUGUGUGAUUGCUUGACACUCCACUAAGAGCCCAGUUUGCCUGUAUGGAACAAGUCACUGGGAGGACGUGAGUCACUGCUACCUGCAUGGAGUUCGUGGAAACCUGCCUUCAUCCAGACAUCUGCAUCAUCAACAGCAUUUAUUGAGCACUGGCUGGGCUGGCUACUUCCUGGGCAACAGUGAUCUCUUCCUAGAACGAGGUGGAGAAGAAACCAAGCGUCACAUGGAAGGAUGCUUUCCGGACAGACUCCCGUCAGAGCUGACAGUGAUGCCGCUGGGCAAAUAGCAUCCCUGGCCGAGGACGGCUGGAAUGACAGUCCCCGGACACAGGCACAGCCAUGCUGUGCGCGUUAGCACCGGGGAGGCCGAGAGGACUCGGCGGUUCGAGGUUAUCCGUUGCACGUCUGCCCCAUCUCCCC